rnacentral:lncRNA from 1 species
CCCCCUCGGUCGCACCCCCUCUCUCCUCCUCGCCGCCUCCUGCCUCCUCCCCCUCGACCGCAUCUACCUCCGUCCGUGGCCUCGCUACCAAGGUCGAGGUCGUCGAGAUCGACCUCACCGAGGAAGACACUAGCUCCUUGGCCCACGCGCCGCGGCGCCGCCCCUGGACCGGUCGAGAGGAGCGGAGAUCCAUCCAUCCGGCCGUCGGUCGGUCUCGUCGUCUGUCGUUGGUGAGUGACCUCCAGCUGCUUUGUUUACCUGGAUAGAUAAAUUUUCCUAUCUGUUGGUUUUGUUAGUCCAAUCCAAUCUCCCAGAUUUUUCUUCGUUCCUUCGUCGGUUCAGUUCACUUGCCGAUUUGUGUGCUGUGUGGUGCCACGCAGCUAAUCUAUCGAGUCCAACACAAUCCGACCCCGCCCGUGGUUCAUCAGCGCGCAAAAUCCGCCCAUCUCAGUUGGCGCCGCGCCGUAGAAGUUAGUUAGUUGCUGGUGCCCAAUUAAGUCGAAAUCAGAUUCCCCUGAGCCACGUCAUAUUGAGGUCGAAAUCAGAUUCUGGCAGUUAUUGAUCUCUUAUGGAGUAAGGAAAAUUUCUACGAUUCGUUUGAGUUUUACCAGAACUGGAAGUUGUGGUAAAUCAUUAGGUUAAGUGGAUGAGUUCAUUUUUAGUGUCAAAUAGUCAUGUGUGGUUACAGGGAAUUCAUUAUAUGAACUGAUUGCGGACAUUAGGGUGUUUGUGCCCUGCCAUACACUGAUACACUAUCAUCUAUCAUAUUGCCUUCUGAUGGAAAUGCUCGGUCUAUUCACUAUCACUCACAGAAUUUGCUCACGAUGUUCUUGAAGGAGCAAGCUGGAACUGAUAUGAUUGGCCUAUUGGUGUCUUGUAGGCUGUAAUGAAAA